rnacentral:rRNA from 1 species
ACACGUAGGGGCCUGACGUUGUUCGGAAUCAUUGGGCGUAAAGGACGCGCAGGCGGCCGUCCAAGUCCGGUGUUAAAUGGUCGGGCUCAACCUGAUCAUGCGCUGGAAACUGGGCGGCUUGAGUCCCGUAGGGGAUGCCGGAAUUCCAGGUGUAGGGGUGAAAUCUGUAGAUAUCUGGAAGAACACCGAUGGCGAAGGCAGGCAUCUGGCCGGAGACUGACGCUGAGGCGCGAAGGCGCGGGGAGCGAACAGGUUUAGAUACCCUGGUAGUCCGCGCAGUAAACGAUGCGCACCAGGUGUCGGGCGGCAGCGCCCGGUACCGGAGCUAACGCGAUGAGUGCGCCGCCUGGGGAGUAUGCCCGCAAGGGUGAAACUCAAAUGAAUUGGCGGGG